rnacentral:rRNA from 1 species
GAUGAACGCUGGCGGCGUGCCUAAUACAUGCAAGUCGAGCGAACGGACGAGAAGCUUGCUUUUCUGAUGUUAGCGGCGGACGGGUGAGUAACACGUGGAUAACCUACCUAUAAGACUGGGAUCAUUUCGGGAAACCGGAGCUAAUACCGGAUAAUAUUUUGAACCGUAUGGUUCAAAAGUAAAAGACGGUCUUGCUGUCACUUAUAGCUGGAUCCGAGCUGCAUUAGCUAGUUGGUAAGGUAACGGCUUACCAAGGCAACGAUGCAUAGACGACCUGAGAGGGUGAUCGGCCACAUUGGAACUGAGACGCGGUCCAGACUACUACGGGAGGCAGCAGUAGGGAAGCUUCCGCAAUGGGCGAAAGCCUGACGGAGCAAGGCCGCGUGAGUGAUGAAGGUCUUCGGAUCGUAAAACUCUGUUAUUGGGGAAGAACAUAUGUGGAAUUAACUGUGCACAUCUUGACGGUACCUAAUCAGAAAGCCACGGCUAACUACGUG